UUAGUUGCCAGCAUUCAGUUGGGCACUCUAAGGGGACUGCCGGUGAUAAGCCGAGAGGAAGUGGGAUGACGUCAAGUCCUCAUGGCCCUUACGGGCUGGGCUACACACGUGCUACAAUGGUGGUGACAGUGGGCAGCGAGACCGCGAGGUCGAGCUAAUCUCCAAAAGCCAUCUCAGUUCGGAUUGCACUCUGCAACUCGAGUGCAUGAAGUUGGAAUCGCUAGUAAUCGCAGAUCAGCAUGCUGCGGUGAAUACGUUCCCGGGCCCU
rnacentral:rRNA from 1 species